GUAGGUGGCAAGCGUUGUCCGGAAUUAUUGGGGCGUAAAGCGCGCGCAGGCGGUCCUGUAAGUCUGAUGUGAAAGCCCACGGGCUCAACCGUGGAGGGUCAUUGGAAACUGGGGGACUUGAGUACAGAAGAGGAAAGCGGAAUUCCAAGUGUAGCGGUGAAAUGCGUAGAGAUUUGGAGGAACACCAGUGGCGAAGGCGGCUUUCUGGUCUGUAACUGACGCUGAGGCGCGAAAGCGUGGGGAGCAAACAGGAUUAGAUACCCUGGUAGUCCACGCCGUAAACGAUGAGUGCUAAGUGUUAGGGGGUUUCCGCCCCUUAGUGCUGCAGCUAACGCAUUAAGCACUCCGCCUGGGGAGUACGGCCGCAAAGGCUGA
rnacentral:rRNA from 1 species